rnacentral:rRNA from 1 species
CACGUAGGGCGCAAGCGUUGUCCGGAAUUAUUGGGCGUAAAGAGCUCGUAGGCGGUCUGUCGCGUCGGAUGUGAAAAUCCAGGGCUCAACCCUGGACCUGCAUUCGAUACGGGCAGACUAGAGUUCGGCAGGGGGAGACUGGAAUUCCUGGUGUAGCGGUGAAAUGCGCAGAUAUCAGGAGGAACACCGGUGGCGAAGGCGGGUCUCUGGGCCGAUACUGACGCUGAGGAGCGAAAGCGUGGGGAGCGAACAGG